CCUCUUCUCCCCCACGAUAUCCUCCUCCUCUCCUCUCCUCUGCCUCGAUCUGCUCCCAAUCCCAGCCGCCACCCUCCCUCCCUCUAAGAAUCCGAGCUGCUCUCCUCCUCCCUGACCUCUUCCCUAGCGCCCAGCGCCUCCUCCCCUCCCCUGCGACCCACAUCUACCUCUCUCCUCCGCCGUCCAGCACCUCCUCUCCUCCGUCGUCCAACGCCUCGGCCGCAGCCGUCCCACACCGGAAAGGUGGCCCUGCUACCGUCCAGGGGCGCAGCCGCCGCCGUCGCCCCACGCCGGAUCCGGUUGCCGUCGGCCUCGAGCUCGCCGGAUCUGACCGCCUCCGGCCCAGCUGCCCUUGACCCUACCGCCGCCGAAUCUCGUUCCAGAGGCUACGACCCCGACAUCUCCGCCGCCGGAUCCGGGUCCAGAGGCUGCAUCUGUGUUCAUGUGUAAACCCGUUUGGUUUUGAUAGAUGGAUGGAUGCAUAUGUGUAUUAUUGAAUAAUUGUAAUUGUCUUGUUUUGGUUUCUUGAUUAAUUGUAUCCGGUUUUGCUUAUGUA